CAGUCGCCGCGGUAAUACGAAGGGUGCAAGCGUUACUCGGAAUUACUGGGCGUAAAGCGUGCGUAGGUGGUGGUUUAAGUCCGUUGUGAAAGCCCUGGGCUCAACCUGGGAAUUGCAGUGGAUACUGGGUCACUAGAGUGUGGUAGAGGAUAGUGGAAUUUCCGGUGUAGCAGUGAAAUGCGUAGAGAUCGGAAGGAACAUCUGUGGCGAAGGCGACUAUCUGGGCCAACACUGACACUGAGACACGAAAGCGUGUGGAGCAAACAGGAUUAGAGACCCCGGUAGUCCCUGUCUCUUAUAC
rnacentral:rRNA from 1 species